rnacentral:sRNA from 1 species
CCAUCGGCGUGCUGACCAGCGGCGGGGAUGCUCAAGGGUUGGGUUCUCAGAGAAAGAAAACGUGAUGCAGAAGAGGCUGGGAUUGGAGAAACAGGAGAGUGAAGUGGAAAUAGCCUGGCCUGCGUGACUUAAACCGGCCCGGA